AUGGUUAAACGAGGGCUUAGCUGUCUCCUUUUUCAUGUCAAUGAAAUUGAUAUUCCCGUGCAAAAGCGGGGAUUAAAACAUAAGACGAGAAGACCCUGUGAAGCUUUAGAUUAUAGGACAGACUGGGCUGAUAACCCCUAAUAAAGGGCUAAGCUAUUAACCCCUGUUCUAGUGUCUUUGGUUGGGGCGACCACGGGGAGAUAUAUAGCCCCCGCGUGGACUGGGUGCGAGAGUGUUUUGUGCCUAAAGCUAAGAGCUUCCGCUCUAGUAAGCAGAAUUUCUGACCUCAUAAGAUCCGGCAAUGCCGAUCAACGGACUAAGUUACUCCAGGGGUAACAGCGCCAUCCUCUUUGAGAGCCCAUAUCGACAAGGGGGUUUACGACCUCGAUGUUGGAUCAGGACAUCCUAAUGGUGCAGCCGCUAUUAAGGGUUCGUUUGUUCAACGAUUAAUAGUCCUACGUGAUCU
rnacentral:rRNA from 1 species